rnacentral:rRNA from 1 species
CAUAGGUUAAUGAGGCGAACCGGGGGAACUGAAACAUCUAAGUACCCCGAGGAAAAGAAAUCAACCGAGAUUCCCCCAGUAGCGGCGAGCGAACGGGGAGCAGCCCAGAGCCUGAAUCAGUGUGUGUGUUAGUGGAAGCGUCUGGAAAGGCGUGCGAUACAGGGUGACAGCCCCGUACACAAAAAUGCACAUGCUGUGAGCUCGAUGAGUAGGGCGGGACACGUGGUAUCCUGUCUGAAUAUGGGGGGACCAUCCUCCAAGGCUAAAUACUCCUGACUGACCGAUAGUGAACCAGUACCGUGAGGGAAAGGCGAAAAGAACCCCGGCGAGGGGAGUGAAAAAGAACCUGAAACCGUGUACGUACAAGCAGUGGGAGCACAGAGCAAUCUGUGUGACUGCGUACCUUUUGUAUAAUGGGUCAGCGACUUAUAUUCUGUAGCAAGGUUAACCGAAUAGGGGAGCCGAAGGGAAACCGAGUCUUAACUGGGCGUUAAGUUGCAGGGUAUAGACCCGAAACCCGGUGAUCUAGCCAUGGGCAGGUUGAAGGUUGGGUAACACUAACUGGAGGACCGAACCGACUAAUGUUGAAAAAUUAGCGGAUGACUUGUGGCUGGGGGUGAAAGGCCAAUCAAACCGGGAGAUAGCUGGUUCUCCCCGAAAGCUAUUUAGGUAGCGCCUCGUGAAUUCAUCUCCGGGGGUAGAGCACUGUUUCGGCAAGGGGGUCAUCCCGACUUACCAACCCGAUGCAAACUGCGAAUACCGGAGAAUGUUAUCACGGGAGACACACGGCGGGUGCUAACGUCCGUCGUGAAGAGGGAAACAACCCAGACCGCCAGCUAAGGUCCCAAAGUCAUGGUUAAGUGGGAAACGAUGUGGGAAGGCCCAGACAGCCAGGAUGUUGGCUUAGAAGCAGCCAUCAUUUAAAGAAAGCGUAAUAGCUCACUGGUCGAGUCGGCCUGCGCGGAAGAUGUAACGGGGCUAAACCAUG